GAUGAACGCUGGCGGCGUGCUUAACACAUGCAAGUCGAACGGAAAGGCUCCUGCUUGCAGGGGUACUCGAGUGGCGAACGGGUGAGUAACACGUGGGUGAUCUGCCCUGCACUUCGGGAUAAGCCUGGGAAACUGGGUCUAAUACCGGAUAGGACGAUGGUUUGGAUGCCAUUGUGGAAAGUUUUUUCGGUGUGGGAUGAGCUCGCGGCCUAUCAGCUUGUUGGUGGGGUAAUGGCCUACCAAGGCGUCGACGGGUAGCCGGCCUGAGAGGGUGUGCGGCCACAUUGGGACUGAGAUACGGCCCAGACUCCUACGGGAGGCAGCAGUGGGGAAUAUUGCACAAUGGGCGCAAGCCUGAUGCAGCGACGCCGCGUGGGGGAUGACGGCCUUCGGGUUGUAAACUCCUUUCGCUAGGGACGAAGCGCAAGUGACGGUACCUGGAGAAGAAGCACCGGCUAACUACGUG
rnacentral:rRNA from 1 species